rnacentral:rRNA from 1 species
UACUAGAGUAGCACUCGCAUAUCAAUAAGCGGAGGAAAAGAAACUAACAAGGAUUCCCCUAGUAACGGCGAGUGAAGCGGGAAGAGCUCAAAUUUGAAAUCUUAAAGGGUUUCCCUUUACGAAUUGUAGUUUAAAGAAGUGUUUUCUGUUGAGGUUUUGGUAAAAGUUCUUUGGAAUAGGACAUCAUAGAGGGUGAGAAUCCCGUAUUUGACCUUUACUUUCAACUUUGUGAUACACUUUCAAAGAGUCGGAUUGUUUGGGAAUGCAGUCCAAAAUGGGUGGUAAAUUUCAUCUAAAGCUAAAUAUUGGCGAGAGACCGAUAGCGAACAAGUACCGUGAGGGAAAGAUGAAAAGAACUUUGAAAAGAGAGUUAAACAGUACGUGAAAUUGUCAGAAGGGAAGCGUUUGACACCAGUGUUGUUUUUCUGAAAAUCAAUUAAAGAACUGUUUAUGCUAAGCUGUUUAGACUUUAUCAGCUAUCUGUUUAGUUUUGAGCUUUUCUUUAAUGCACUUUUCAGUUAACAAGUCAACAUCAAUUUCUUUUGCUGUAAAAAAGCUUGAGGAGGGUGGCUUGAGAUUCGUCUUAAGUGUUUAUAGCCUCUUGCCUAUGCAGUCGGAGAGAUUGAGGUCUGCAGCGUAGAUCCUUCGGGGCUAAAUGCAUUUGUGCUAAGUUAUAGCAUUUUAUAGACAACUUGUUGACUAUGAUUUGUCUUGUAGCUUACUCGCUUAUGUUAUUUUACCUACGCUUAGGAUGUUGAUCUCUCACAGUCGAGC